GUUUGGAACACGUGUAUCAGAAGUAUCAAAGUACCAUCCUAGCUCGACCACCGCGUACCCAUCACUAUGAAACUGUUCUGGCUCUGUAACAUUCACGCUAGAAUACUUCUCGCUUGUAAGAAAAGCAACAUUGCAUCCUCCUUCUCUUGUGUUGUUGUUACCUUCAGGGAUCUCCAAAUCAACUCCUAGAACUUGCGGCUCCCCUUCUGGUUGAUUUGCAACCGAUGAUCUGCGAUUUGAUAUCCGUCAUAACCGCCUUGGCAUUGCAACCAACCGCCACGAGUUGGUUCUUGUCCGUGAAGAAAUAAGGGCUGCCUUGGCCGGUGGCACUCAAAGGCGGCGGUGUAAGCGGCUGAGAUGAUCCUGUAGAACAACCAGAGGAAGUCACGGGACCUUUGAUGUGAACAACUCCAUAAGAAUAGUACACGUGAUCGUCUGGAAGAUAGAUGUUCACCAAUUCUCUGUUGAUCCUUGAGAGAACCGGAACAGAGUUGCUUUUACAGACAGCCUCGUACCACGGGUUUAGAUAGCAGUCUUUCCCUACACCAAACGGAAAUGGAAUUGAUAGUCCUCCGCAGACUCUGUUACACGGAUCUGGAGGUUUUCUUGAUGAUGAGACGCCAUUGAUGAACAGAGAGGUCACUAGUAUAAUAACAACUAGGAGGCUGUGAGUCUUUGUCAUCAUACUGAUUAUGUUCUUGUGUUUCUCUACUUGGUCUGAUCUUCUAAAAAUCUUCUAGUAUUGUGAAAAUGGAAGGGAGAAAAGGAAUCAAGAUUCAGCAUUGUCGGAGGAGAUGAGAUUACAUGAAAUGCGUGGAGAGAGAUGCAAAAAAAGAGUUGACCGGAUUAGUAUGAUUAACCAUGCUAAAAUGGCAAUGAUAUGGCUAGUUGAUAGAUCACGUGGACUUUCUUAGUUUUGGACCAAUCAAAACCAGCAUGAAAGUCAAAUAUCUAAGUUGAAUUUAUAUCCGAGUAAUAAAUAAAAUACCAGUCGACAAAA